AUGCUUUCCAACUGGCUACCCCGGUACCCCAGUCAACAGCCCUGCACCCCCACAGCAAGGAGUGAGAUGAUGCUUGCCCGUGGGAACACGGUCCUGAUAGUGUUUGUGAGUUUCUUUGGUAGCCGUGUUCACCGGCCACGGUUCAUCGGUGGAGGGGCACUGGUGGCCAGUCUGGCCGCUUUGAUGAUGGCCCUGCCUCAUUUCAUCAGUGGCCCCUAUGAGUACACAGUCCACAUCAGCCAAUCCAAGGAUGACAACUCUGGUCUCUGCCAAUUAGAGAGCUCCUUCCAAACACCCUUGUCCAAUCACAGCUGCACACAGCAGGAGAGUCAUGCUCAGCAGGGCGUAUUCCGCUCCUGCUCCUAGGACAGCUACUCCUGGGAAUCGGCGGCGUUCCCAUCCAACCCUUCGGGAUCUCCUACAUUGAUGACUAUGCCAGCAAGAGAAACUCUCCCUUCUACCUCGGUAUUCUCCUGGCUGUCACGUCUAUCGGUCCUGCAUUUGGUUUCAUGAUGGGCUCCUUCAUGCUGAAUUUUUAUGUCGACAUCGACAAGAUGUCCAAAGAUGAGAUAGGUCUGGAGAGAGGGGACCCUCGCUGGGUGGGAGCCUGGUGGUUGGGCUUUGUCGUGGCAGCCUCCUUCCUCUUUCUCACCUCCCUGCCCUACCUCUUCUUCCCCCAACAGAUGCCAAAAGAGGAAGCUGCAGGCAAUGCCAAAGAACCCAGAGCCGAGGAGGAAAAGAAACCACUGCCAGACCCCGUCCAGGAGCUCACCCUCAAACAGUUCCUCAAAAGUUUCCCCCGUAUCGCCCUGAGGACCCUGCGGAACCCCAUCUACCUGUUGGUGGUGCUGGCACAGGUCCACCUGGCAGCUAUGAUAGCCGGCCUUGCCACCUUCAUGGCCAAGUUCAUAGAGCGCCAGUUCACCCAGACCGCCUCCUUCUCCAACAUGAUGAUCGGUGGGGUGAACAUCCCUCUGGCGGUGCUGGGCAUUGUGCUGGGCGGGGCUCUGAUGAGGAGGCUGAAAAUCUCUACUCGAGGCUCCGCCCUCAUGUGCACGUCAGCCAUCUUGAUGUGUAUACUCACCGCACUGCCUCUCCUCCUCCUCGGCUGCUCCACACAGAGGGUCACUGGCGUCUACCCCACCAAACAGAACAGGUCUUUGGAGUGUAGCUCUGGGUGCUCCUGUCCAACUGAGGCCUUUAACCCUGUGUGUGGCUCAGACGGGGUGGAGUUCAGAUCGCCCUGUCAUGCAGGCUGCUUGACCAAAGUACUGGAUGACAAUACCAGCAAAAUCCUGAAAUACACCGACUGUGGCUGCAUAGGGGUCAGCAGAUCCUAUGGUUAUGCAUUGCCAGGGACAUGCGGUAGUGACUGUAAACACCUCCUCCUGCCCUUCAUGGUUCUCUCAGCUCUCACCUGCUUUAUUGCAUCGUUCUCACAGACCCCAUCCUACAUGAUGAUACUGAGGACAGUGAGACCAGAGGAUAAGUCUUUUGCUGUGGGGGUUCAGUACAUGCUCUUCAGAGUGCUGGCGUUCCUGCCAGCCCCAGUUCUGUAUGGCACUGCCAUAGACACCACCUGUAUCAUCUGGGGGAAGAAGUGUGGGAGGAAGACGUCCUGUCACUACUACAACAUGGACCUCUUCAGACAGAGGUUCCUGGGUCUGCAGGCAUUCUUUGUCACCGGAGCGUUUGUCUGCUUCCUGCUCUCCCUCCUGGUCCUGAGACAUAGGGCAGGGAAACAAGGCAAGCAGGCAGGACAGGGAUACACUAUGAUUGACAGAGAGCUGAGUCCAGACAAGAACACCGCCUCCAAAGAAUUGCAGAAUAUGGCAGCAUGAGAGAGGCCUGAUAGAGAAGGAGAAAAUAAAAAAAGAAAGAACUGAAUUGCGAACUGCGUAUAAAGUCUAUUUCUAUCCCCCAGAGGGUCACGAUGAAGACUACAGAAAUGAGAGCUGCUUCGAAAGUGUUGGGGAAGCUACUCUGAAAAUAUAGGUUACCAAGCUAGCAAUUACUUCACACUGGAAGAAGUUAAACUACACUAAAGCUACCCUCUAACAAAAAUAUAUAGUUUUCUUAAACUAAAGUUACUUUGAAAAAGGAGUUCACUACAUCCAAACUACUUAGUGAAAAUGUAUAAAAAUAAAAAUGACAUCUGAAAUGUCAUAGACUACCAGUUGCAAUCACACAUCACUUUGGGGUAUCAACAGAAUGUGUAAUUUGCCUAUUAAACACAUAUAGGCAAGUGAGAAUUAAGUAAUGUGUGGCUCAAUUGGCAGAGCAUGGUGCUUGCAAUGCCAGGGUUGGGGGUCUGAUUCCCAUGGUGGACCAGUACAAAAAUGAAUCAAUUUUGAAUAAAGCCGUUUGCUAAAUGAACAAAAAAUAAUUAGGCAGGUGUGACGCAGAAAAAAUGAAAUUAUUGACUACAUCACCCAUUUUAUUUUACAAAAAAGUAGGGUGUAGUUUCAGUAGUUAACUACACCCCUACAUGGCAAAAAGUAAUUAGGUGUGCAACUCUAGAUUUCUUACAUACUCAUAUUAUUAUUAUUUGAUUUCUUAGGCCGCUCGAGCUUAAACGAUUUAACACGAAACCAACUUCCAAAUGCCCAGACUGCCCCAACUGGGGUUGCUUGAGAAAAAUAUUUUUGAUAACAUUUAUACCUUUUGAACCAUAUCAAUAUUUAAAUGAGCUCCCAAUGCAUUUCAAUGGAAAAUGCAUCUCUAUUAAGCUAUUAACUCCAAACCAACAUUGAAAUGUUCAGACUGACCCAACUUAGAUUUCCUGUCAAAGGAUUUUCUUAAACUAUGUAUACUUUAACUAUAAAUGUGCAAAAAUGAACAUGAGUUUAAAUGAGAACCAUAGGAAUACAGGGGUAGCUUAUCAAAAUAAACCAGUUCCUUGGCCAGUUAAGCUAAGCUACAAGACCAACUUUAAAACAUUCUGACUAUACCUACUUCAAAUACUUUAAAAUCAUUAACUAUAACUACAUGAAUGUGUUCCACAUUUGCAUGUAACUCACCAGCAGUAACUCUGAGACCAUUCAAACUAGAGACACCAAACCAACUUUCACAUGUUCAGACUAUCAUAACUUCCAAUUCUAUAAAAAACGUAUUAACUAGAACUAUUCAAAUUUGCAUAAACUACCUCACCAACAGUAACCCUUGAACCAUUCAAGCUAGAAACACCAAACCAACUGUCACAUGUUCAGGCUAUCCUAUACCUUUCUAGUUACCUACUAAAAAUACUACCAUAUUUUAAUUUAGUUCAAGUAACACCAAGCCACUGCAAAAUGUAUUUCAAUUACUGCUUGAACUACAUAGUUCCCUUCUCCCAAAACUGGGCAUAGAGAAGGUACACCAUUACUGCGCCCAAACUGACUGUAAUAAUGUGUACAGCAAGUGCUGUAUCGGAGCCAUGGCACGUUUACUAUAGCAUGUCAUUCUCUGGGACCAGUCUGAGUGGUUCCCUAUCCACUGAAACAGGGUCAGAUCUUUUUAUAUACCUCUUAUAGUUAAGGUUAGGACUUGGGGAGGAUAAGCUGCUAUAAACUGAUCCUAGACCUCUAGAGGGUAAUCUCUACCUCUAGUGAGUAUUACAGGACACCUGAUCUAUGAACUGAAGAUCAGCGUUAUCAGACCAAAGAGAGCAUUAGAUAACCAAACUUACCAAACUAAUGGUCUUCAGAUGUUGGUUGUUUUUAUACCAUUUUUAUAUACCAUAUAUUUUUCUACAGAUUUUUUACAAACUUUUUGUCCUUUGUAAACAACGCAUACUUGAACGUAUACUUUCAAAGAAAAUGAUCAUUAUAGAUUGAGGAGGCGCCUUACAUAUAUACAACUCCAAUAAUAUAUCAUGCUUAUAAUCUUAUCCUGUGAAGAAAAAAAUGUAAAUAUCUUCACUACAUUAUAUGAAGUGGAAUUUUUAUUUGAUGGACAAUUCCACACAAGUCAUCUGUUUCUCCAUUGCUCUUGUCAUGUAAUGAGUUAUGGUAGGCAAGCAUUGUGAGUUCAAAGGCCCUUUCCAAACAGGGAAGAAAUCAUGCAUGUAAUGAACUCAUGUGAACCCAUGUGACAUGGAAGAGGGGCAUUGCUCUCCAAGGGGAGCGAGAGGAGGGAGGUGGAGAUGGGGCGGGGAUGUUGUGAAACCUGAGCCAAGCAUUUAUAACUGCCAUCCUGAGUGAUGAUACACAAGGUUAAUAAACUCUAUCA